rnacentral:rRNA from 1 species
ACCCUGAUCCACCAUGCCGCGUGAAGGAUUAAGGCCCUAUGGGUUGUAAACUUCUUUUAUAAGGGAAAAAACCCCUCUACGUGUAGAGGGUUGAUGGUACUUUGUGAAUAAGGGUCGGCUAACUUCGUGCCAGCAGCCGCGGUAAUACGAAGGACCCAAGCGUUAUCCGGAUUUACUGGGUUUAAAGGGUGCGUAGGUGGACUUGUAAGUCAGUGGUGAAAUCCCCAAGCUCAACUUGGGAACUGCCAUUGAUACUGCUAGUCUUGAGUAUAGUUGAGGUAGGCGGAAUAUGUCAUGUAGUGGGUGAAAUACUUAGAUAUGACAUAGAACACCGAUUGCGAAGCAGCUUGCUAAGCUAUAACUGACACUGAUGCACGAAAGCGUGGGGAGCAAACAGGAUUAGAUACCCUGGUAGUCCACGCCCUAAACGAUGAUAACUCGAU